ACUGCAUGGUGACCGGCUACGACUGGUGGG
rnacentral:piRNA from 1 species